AUGCGAGCGACGGCCAGAAAUAUUUCUUCUUUUCCGUCUGAGCCCGAGGAUGCGGGUGUUUCCAGCAAAUUACAAAGACCAAGUGGUUGUUCCCUGAGGACCACUGAAGACAGUGUUUCCCCAGAAGAUGAGCAGCGAGAUCUGGAUAAUUACCUCCAAAAUCUUAGAGAAGAUGCAGAUAGUGACAAGGACAGGUCCCAUUUGGAAAUAAUGGAGAGACUGGUUGCAUUCUCUAAGAGGCAGUUAUCUAGAAUCUCCCCAAAUCUUCCAUCAGAGUCCAAAUCAACAGCCAAACACAACAGUCACCAGGAGGUGAGACCCAGUGUCGACGUGCACAGCGGAGCGACAAUAGACGGCAGCAAAGGGACUGACAAGUUCAAGCUGCAAAGGAAAACACGGGCGGUGACUAGAAAUGAGCAUAAAUCCCCCAGCGUAUGUGCAGAUCCUCAAGUCAAAGCAUCAACUGCUCCCCAACACCCAGUCAAAGAACUAAUCAUUAACCAGAACGAUGCAUGUGUUAGUGGCCGACACAAGCCGCUUACACAAACACCACAACGCAAAGAAUAUGCGCAUCACAAACAUCACCCAACCAGUUCUGUCUAUCGGAAGCAGCCAGCUGUGGAGAGGACAGAUGUUCUCUACGAUAAUGAGUCAUCUCAUCUGGAGUCCUUCAAUGUGCUACCAGAAGACAUAAUAAGUGAGGACUGCAUUGUGCUGAUUGUCCAGCUCUCCAGUCCCGGUGUGAUCAGAGGCCGAGCUCAUGAAAAGGGAAACCGCCGGCGUCCAGCAGCGACCGAAUCACACAUCUACAACACUUUGGUCUCUUGGUUUCUCUCGUUGGCUGGCCCAGACCCGCAUCCCAACCAGGACAGGGUCCCAUUCAGGGUGGCGGGUCUUCAGCAGGCGUGGACAGAGGAAGGACUGGCUUUACGUGCUUUAGCUGUGGCUCAUCACAGUUGUUCCCUGGGGAGAAAGGAUUUUGUCGCCUACGUCUGCAGGUUCCUCUCUGAAACCUCACUCAGUGAAACUGCCCACUGGCUGCCGAAGCUCCAGGAUUUAUUGGACCAACAGGGCUCUGCCUCAUCCAUCGACCUGCCUUCUUCUAGCUUAAACGCCUUUAUCUCUGCCACCGCCAGCAAAAAGUCAGUGGACGAGGCGAUUGGUCUCAGUCCAGGGUUUUACUGGCAGAUUGUGGAAACUCAGGGGGAUGUUUGCAGGAGGAGAGAGACCACACAGGAGCUGCACACAGAGGUAUCAUUGGCUCUGGGGGGCAGCGACGUCUUCCGGGAUCCGCUCAUAACACACUACACCCUUCAGCUGGUCCUGGACUCAGGACUAGACGUGUGUGGCCUCCGUCUGCUUUACCCCCCGCAGAGGUUCCUGGGUCACAGCGCCGGUGUUCAGCGCAGCUCUGACUGCCAGCCCGUCUUGGCCCUGGCUGUUCGGGGCCCUCGUGCGUUCUCGGUGCUGAAGGGUUUUACAGACUCCUCGUGUCCUCUAUUGUCCCAGAAGACAUAUUCGAGUUCUGCCGGGCCGCUGCAAAGCCAAAGUCAGGAACCUUGUCUCUUCCACUCACCCGGUCUGGAGAGUCAGGUCCACAAGGAGCUAUGCUUGUGGUUUGCAGGAAGACUUCCCAGAGGAACUGUAGAGAAUCACAACCAGCAUCUGAACAGGACUAUUCCUUCGGGUGAUGGUGUUGGAGGCAGCCUGUUCAGUUCAAGCACAUCGCCUGCGUUUCUGUGCGCCACAUCUACAGCCGACGUGCUGCUCGUGGUCGCGCCCGCCGUGCCGGCGCGCUGUUACGGCCCGGUGUUGGCCGUGUGCGAACGUAGAGGCUUCGGUCUGGAAGGGCUGCGACGCCGGACGCUGAAGAGAAACACUGGCAAAGUGCUAGGAUUAACCAGGGAGCAGGUGAGAGUGUUCUGCAGUUUACACACAGAGUCCUUGGAUCAGAAGGGGCUCAAACCACCUCCUCAGUGCUUAGUGGUUUUACUGAAGAAAGAGAAUGCCGUGCAUCACAGUCUCAGUCUGCCAACAGCUCUAAUGAGAGAAUUAAGGGCUCGUAAGCUUCUCAGCUGCAUCCGCCUCAGAGACGAUGGCGUUCAGACAGCGGAGCCCAGCCUCUGUUUCCACACUGUGCCUUACAGCAGUAACCUGUCCCACACCUUCAUUAGGUCUAUGUGGACAGUGCCUGAUCCUACCAGAGUGAUCCUGUCCCAUCGCAGGCCUCACACUGACUGUGACGUGGAGCAGGUGGUGAUUUUGACCCUGCGUGGGAAGGACAUGGGUCACGGUUUGGGCCUCCUACAUCGAAUGUUAGCAGAAAGCCCAGAAGGUGGCACAGAGCUGCUCGGCCUGAAGUGGCUGCCUGGCUUGACUCAGCUGCAGGCUCAGGAGCUGAGUCCCUACGAGGUGGGGGAGCAGCUUUUCCACAGUAGCGUGGAGACGCUCAUGUCCUCCCCUUCCCUGUUAUGUGCUCUUAAACGAAGGAACGCUUUUGCUUCGCUGAAGACGCUCCUACCAUAUGAUUACCCUGGAAACCUGUCUGUCCUGAUGUCACCCACACCUGAAGUGGCCUUCAGACAAGCAGCGCUCUUCUUUGAACACUGGAUGACUGGAUGA
ensembl:lncRNA uncharacterized LOC114859858